rnacentral:rRNA from 1 species
AUGAACGCUGACAGAAUGCUUAACACAUGCAAGUCACCUUGAAUUUGGGUUUUUAACUUAGGUUUGGGUGGCGGACGGGUGAGUAACGCGUAAAGAACUUGCCUCACAGCUAGGGACAACAUUUGGAAACGAAUGCUAAUACCUAAUAUUAUGAUAAUAGGGCAUCCUAUAAUUAUGAAAGCUAUAAGCGCUGUGAGAGAGCUUUGCGUCCCAUUAGCUAGUUGGAGAGGUAACGGCUCACCAAGGCGAUGAUGGGUAGCCGGCCUGAGAGGGUGAUCGGCCACAAGGGGACUGAGACACGGCCCUUACUCCUACGGGAGGCAGCAGUGGGGAAUAUUGGACAAUGGACCGAGAGUCUGAUCCAGCAAUUCUGUGUGCACGAUGAAGUUUUUCGGAAUGUAAAGUGCUUUCAGUUGGGAAGAAACAAAUGACGGUACCAACAGAAGAAGUGACGGCUAAAUACGUG